UCGCACGAAUACCGUGCGCACACAUAGGGGCCGAGCAGGCGACGCCAAUACCGCCUUCCCUGCCCCGUGAGCUGCUUGCUGCAACGAAGGGCUCGGAUAACAAAAACUCCCUCCGCGCCGCCUUUGUUCUCCCUCACUGUUCCGCUGCGCCCUGGACGCGGUUCUGGCUGGGCUCCUGCACCCCGCACUGCGGCGGCGGCCGGGCUCAAGGAUUUGGGGCAAAUCUCAACCUCGCAAAUAAAGCGUAAAGCUACACUGAUCCAAACGAGUUGUAAAGGAAGAAGAUUUUCCAAGUAGACCCUGAGAGGCUGGCCCCACCCAACGGUCACAAAGAGCCGGAGAAAACAUUCUUACCAUAGUUGCUGUUUUGUGGCUGCCGAGCAGAUGGCGGAGAGGAGGAGGAGAGGUUGUUGCUUCUUACAGCGCGACUCUUAGGCGGUCGAUGUAAGAGAACCUGCGGCACAUGGGCGAAUGCGGCUCCCUAUAUACAAUUCGGUCACCAUGGGGAUGGGCUGGGGCCUUUUCCUGUUGGUCCAGACCCCUCAAUCUGCCCAGAGAAGCCACGACAAAAGAGUGGUGAUUGGUGCAAGCGACAUGGGAUGAGGGUUCAGCACUGAUCAAGGUAUUGAGUGAACUGGCUGGCUUUCACUAAGUAUGGCCUUUAAAGACUAUCUGCUGCAUUCCCCUUGGCAAAAUUUCAAUGGAGGUGCUUUACCCAAGUCUACUGAUGGAAUCUGACAUUUGGAAAAAGGGGACAAAACUUGAAGAGGCUCAAAGGCAUCCUGAGAAGAGAAGAAAGAGAAAGAAGUGUAAAAGACAGUAGACUCUUCUGCAGGUUUAGAGAGAGGGUCGCGAAAAUUCAGCUGCGGCGCCAUCUGCUGGAAGCGCCGCGACCCUGCAAGACCGUGCCGGGGAAGGAGAAAACGGGUUGCAGGUGAAGGUGUGGACUUUUGCCCAGGAAGGCCUCUGCCACCAAGGUAGCAUUUACAUGCAGUCCCCUUAUCUAAAAAGAGACUAAAAUGACCCUACAAGAAAAUGGCCUCGGUUUUGAGGAGCCUUCCGGCCUAAAUGAACUGACAUAUGUUAUAUGGGUGUUCUCAGGAAAACCUGGGGCUUUAGGAGAAAAGGAGGCUUAACUCAUUUCGUUACUCCCGCACGAUUCUCAGGUGCAAAGCUGAAAACUAAAACUCUGUUUUCCACCAGUGCACACAGAGAAGUAUCAGGCAUAGAAGUCACAAUGUAUUUGUUCUCUUGAAUGGAACCGAUUUUGCUGAAUGGAAGGAAAUUUAAAAGCUGAAGAGGGUGACAGAAAUAAAAUUAAUCUGGGAGUGGGGAGGUGUUAAAAUGUGGCCUUGGCCGUGGUUUGAUAUAAGGUCACUAAACCCUGCUACCAUUUUCCAGACUCUUAAGUCAGUUCUGAUUUACUUGAUGAUUUUUCUGUUUAGGAGGCUUCAGGCUCUUUCCACACAAGGGUCUAAACCCAUUUGCAAACGCAUUUAUAUUCAUACUUCAAAACAAAUCUCAAUUCACCAUUGCUGGAAACUUUGUUAAAGGCCAUAAUUAGAAAACUCACGGGGAACUGGAAGAAAGCAAGAUUUAGAGCAGAAUUACAGUUGGCCCACCCAUCUGGAAAAAUAUGGUAUCACAAUAGGAAACAUUUGUAAUGGAAAAAUGUUAUCAAACUGACCCUCCAGAGCUUGAUAAUAACAUUCUAACAAAAAUGAGUUUUUGUUUUCUGGGAUGAGCUUAUAAUGGUUUUCCUGAAAAAGAUGAAGUAGCUUUACCAACAAUAUAACCUUUUGGAACCUAACUGGUUCUAUAGUUCUUCGAGUCCAUGUCAUGUGACUUCCAUAUACAGUCAGUGUUUUAUAAAGACAUCCUUUGGUGCUUCGAUAAUUAAGCCCUCAUGGAUGAGACCUACCUGAUUCUACUGCCACAGUGAAUACUUUUAUAGAGAAAAUGUUAACCCUCCAUAUGGAUGCUUGAAGAAAAUAAACUAGGAAAACAGGAUGAGAAAUAAGAAUCCAUUGUGAUGAUGCAUGGAUGGACUGUAUCAGAGAACUAGAAGAUUGAGUAUAUUUUCUAUUUUGAAUGAGCAAAGAGUUAUUGGGUACCAAAUUGUUACCAGUAGAGAAAAUAUUUUUUAAUUAAUUUAUUUAUUUUUGGCUGCAUUGGGUCUUCGUUGCUGUACAGGCUUUCUCUUCAUUGCGGUGUGUGGGCUUCUCAUUGCAGUGGCUUCUUUUGUUGCAGAGCACAGGCUCUAGGCGUGCAGGCUUCGGUAGUUGUGACACACAGGCUCAGUAGUUGUGGCAUGCAGGCACAGUAGUUGUGGUGCAUGGGCUUAGUUGUUCCGUGGCAUGUGGGAUCUUCCCGGACCAGGGAUGGAACCCUGCGUUGGCAGGCAGAUUCUUAACCACUGCGCCACCAGGGUAGCCCAAGUAGAGGAAAUAUUUGAUGGCUGAUGCCACAUCUGUCUUACCUCUCUUCUACCAAUGUAUUUGUGAGGAGUGUCUUUCAUAGAAAUAAAUAGCUUGAUAACAAAUCAGCAGUGUGAGUGGUGGCAUGCAGUGGAAUUGAGCAUCCCUUGGUGAAGGGACUUUCAGGGUCUCUGGUUUAGGACAGUGCAGGAGGGGAUCAGAGGUGGAGCAGUGAGAGCCAGAUAACUUAAGCCCUCGUGAUCUCUUCAAAAUUCAGAAACUGAAUUUUUCUCUUCUAUGGUUCUUAUUGUUUCAUUAGCUUAUUUGUUUAGAGGGUGCCUGCACCCUCAGAACAGAGCCCCAUGUACAAACUUCCUGUGACUUUCUUUACAGAUGUCUCAAGAGUAUUCACUGAGCACUAUUUCUGGUGAACCCAAUAUAAAAAGUCUACACAUUCCCCCAGCAGUUGAGCUUGGGGUUCAAAUAUUUUGUGUUUGGCAAAACGCAAGGGAAAUUUUUUCUAGAGAUGACCUCUCCCUUGACUUUCAGCCUGUUCUAAAUUGGGCUUUAGAGAGAAAUGUGACCAUUCUUUCAAAAACAUGAAACAGAUUGAACUUGGUAGACGUUUCUGUCUGGACCCUAGAAUUAGGUAAGUGUGUCUCUCAUGGUCAAAAUCGUGACUUCACAGAGGACUCGCCUUAACAAUGUCAAUUCAACUCACUUUUGUUCUCUCAGCACCAGUCAGUCCUCUUCUCCUCACUCCCUGCAAAAUGUCAAGCUAACUCUUGCUCCUCAGUGGGUCUUGGCUUUCUGGACACUUCCUCCAAGACUUCCUUGACCUUUCCAGGUGAAGGGAGGGUGUCUCUGCUGAGUUCCCAACACGUUGUGGUUCCCCAUCAUAGCUCUGUCUUACCAUAUUCCAUUGCUUAUCUGUCUCCCAUACUAGACUCUUAAAUCCUGUGAAGACAUGCUAAGGCUAUUAUUAUGUUCAUUUAGCAUCCUCAGUGCCUAAUUAGUGCUUCAGUCCAAGCAGAUAUUAAGCUUUCAACAUACAGAGAUGGGAAGAAAGGGUAUUUCUGAUGGAGGAACUGACAUGAGCACACACACAGGUAUAGACUUGGAAGAAUGCCCAGGAGCAUGAGUAUGGUUUGGCUGAAGCCUGAAAGGGACUGACAGGAGAUAAGAUGGGAAAGAGUCUGGGGUGGUUAUGAAUAUUGUGAAUGUUAGUUUAAGGCAGUGGUCAUCAGAAGUUGAAAUAGUUGCAAAUGGUGACAUUUUUGGUGUGUUGUAUAUCGGAUGAGUACUUUGCAUAUAUUUUCAUUAACAAGGCAGAGGCACAGAUCUAGCCCAUUUCACUUAAGGAAAAUAUCACUGAAUUGGCAAAACUGGUGUACAUGGUCAAACUGGGCAGUUAAAUAGAAUUAUUUUCUAUCAGAAAAAGGUUAGCUCCAUUUUUAAAUUAAAAGCACCAUGUAACGGGACUUCCCUGGUGGUCCAGUGGUUAAGAAUCCGCCUACCAAUGCAGGGGACAUGGGUUCAAUCCCUGGUUGGGGAACUAAGAUCCCACAUGCCGCGGGGCAACUAAGCCUGCAAGCCACAACUACUGAGCCCAUGUGCCGCAACUACUGAGGUUGCAUGCUCUAGAGCCCGAGCGCCACAACUAGAGAGAAGCCUGUGCGCUGCAACGAAAGAUUCCGCAUGCCUCAACGAAGAUCCCACGUGCCGCAGCUAAGACCCGACACAGCCAAAUAAAUAAAUAAAUAUUUUAAAAAUUAAAAAAAAAAAAGAACCCAGUGUAUUACUUCAAGGUCUUCCACCACCUCACUUGUGACUUCUAAUUCUAAGGUAGUCACUGUGCAAGGCACAGAGGCUUACCAGGAAUUUGUUCAGGGGAUGAAGAAGCUGCUGCUCUGUCAGUGUUUCUUACUUGGCUCUCGAGACUCUCCCUCAGGCAUAAUGCAUUCUCAAAUCAUCCCUUGCUUUGGGGACAAAACACAGUUCAGGAUGGCUGAGGAGUUUCUGUUGUGAAGGGUCGGAGCAAUUGGAAAGGGGAGGCUGGAAAAGAGAAAUCAGCUCAACGUCAGCCAUUUCUUGGCAGAUCACUUUCAGGAAAGGAAACAUUUGGUACUUCAGAAUCUGGAAAUUGAACCUCUUAAUGCUAUCUAUGCUAUGUACCCUUAAGUUACCUAGAUCCCAGUUUGAAGACUGUGGUUUUAAAAAGCCUGGAUCUUGCACUUCCCUGGUGGCGCAGUGGUUAAGAAUCCGCCUGCCAAUACAGGAGACACGGGUUCGAUUCCUGGUGUGGGAAGAUCCCACAUGCCGCGGAGCAACUAAGCCCGCGUGUCACAACGACUGAACCCACACUCCAGAGCCCGCGCGCCACAACUACUGAAGCCCACGCUCUCUAGGGCCCAUGUGCCACAACUACUGAGCUCGCAUGCUGCAACUACUGAAGCCCACGUGCCUAGAGCCUAUGCUCCGCAGCAAGAGAAGCCACCGCAAUGAGAAGCCCGCGCACCGCAACGAAGAGUAGCCCCCGCUCGCCGUAACAAGAAAGCCUGCGUGCAGCAACGAAGACCCGACGAAGCCAAAAAAAAAAAAAACCAAAAAACUGAAACCUGCAUUUUAUCCUACAGGACAGUGGUCUCCAGAGUGGAAUAUACACGAGGUACAGAAAGGAAAUAUUACAAAUUCUGUUUAUACUUUUUAAAUAUCAUCCUCUUAAACUUUCUAUGUUGGUAGAUGUUUACAAUUUAUAUAAAAUGAGCAUAAUUGUUGACUGCAGGUGAGAGCAAGGAAUAGUGCCAGGCAUCAGGGAAGAUACA